AGAAGAGCUGCGGCAUGCAGCCUGGCUCCACAGCUCUGGGGUGGAGAGGCUGAGAAUCCAGCAGUUCGGCCUCCUCGCCACCCCCAGGUCUGCGGGUGGCGAGGAGAGGGGCAGCCAGGGAGCUGUCAUUUUAAUUUACUCAACAGAAAAAUCAAAAUAUUUUGCAAAACUGAAGAUUCUGGUUUUGUGAAAGGGACAUUUUUACCAGAAAGUCAUUCAGACAAAAAAUUUUCAAUCAUCUCUACUUAGGUACUUUUGAAAACCUCACAAGGCACUUGUCUGCCUCUCUAGGCUACUACAUACUUCUGAAAAUCUGGGCCUACCACCUGUCAGGGUCCCAGAGCUUUGGCUUCAGCCCAAGCCUGAACAUCUACACUGCAGUUAAACAGCCUCUUAGCUUGACCCCAGAAGCUUGAGUCAGCUAGCAUGGGCUAGCUGUUGGUUUUUAAUUGCAGUGUAGACAAAGACAUACCCUAAAGUGGCAUUGGUGAGAGAAGUGAUUGCUGCUGAAAACUUUAACUGUGGAAACAGCCUACAGUGCCAAAUAUUAUGCAUUGGAGUAACAAUCUGCUUGAGAUCAUUUAAUCUGGGACCCAGCUUCAAACGUCAGAGCUUUUUACAGAUAAGCUGGGAGUCCGUGGAUCAACACGCAUGGAAAAAUGUCUGCACCACUGAAUCUGAGCAACUACAAGCAUUAUUAUGCAAAAAUAAAAGCCCUGACUCAUGGAGGGGGGAGCGAAACAGGCACAGGACCAAGAAGGCUGUCAGCAAUCUACAAAGAUUUACGAUUUGAGAAUAUCAAGUAUUUGCCUUCUGCAAGGGCCGGCUGAAGGCACCAGCGAAGGAAGCAGGUGCAUGGGGCGGCCAAUAUAAAGGGGCAGCA